UCACUUGGUUUGCAGCACAACUUGGAAGCAACAAUUGCCAACAGCUGCAUUUAGCUCAUUUGUGACAUGGCCUGGUGGAAGAAGAAGGAUGUGUAUGCAGCGGAUGCCUAUGUCGUUGCCACUUGGCAUGCACCAAGUUUUCCAGGACC